rnacentral:rRNA from 1 species
GAGUUUGAUCAUGGCUCAGAUUGAACGCUGGCGGCAUGCCUUACACAUGCAAGUCGAACGGCAGCACGGGAGCUUGCUCCUGGUGGCGAGUGGCGAACGGGUGAGUAAUGCAUCGGAACGUAUCCUGGAGUGGGGGAUAACGUAGCGAAAGUUACGCUAAUACCGCAUAUUCUGUGAGCAGGAAAGCGGGGGACCUUCGGGCCUCGCGCUCUUGGAGCGGCCGAUGUCGGAUUAGCCAGUUGGUGAGGUAAAGGCUCACCAAGGCGACGAUCCGUAGCAGGUCUGAGAGGAUGAUCUGCCACACUGGAACUGAGACACGGUCCAGACUCCUACGGGAGGCAGCAGUGGGGAAUUUUGGACAAUGGGGGCAACCCUGAUCCAGCCAUGCCGCGUGAGUGAAGAAGGCCU